rnacentral:rRNA from 1 species
AUGUCACCGGAUAGAGACAUCGAGUUCUUGAUAGAGCUAUUGCCAGGAACAGGACCGAUAUCCAAGAGACCCUAUCGGAUGCCAGCAAAUGAUCUGGAGGAAAUUAAGAAGCAGAUUAAGGAGUUGUUGGAGAAAGGUUACAUUCGUAGAAGCUCGUCACCGUGGGGAGCCCCAGUACUUUUGGUGGAGAAGAAGGAUAAAUCCCUAAGGAUGGUUGUUGAUUACCGAGCUCUGAAUGAAGUAACAAUAAAGAACAAGUAUCCCUUACCAAUGAUCAAUGAUCUGUUUGAUCAAUUACAAGGAGAUAAGGUGUUUUCGAAGAUUGAUCUACGAUCAGGAUACCAUCAGUUGAAGAUCCGAGAGAAGGAUAUACCCAAGACAAUGUUUACCACUCGGUAUGGAUUAUACGAGUAUACGGUCAUGUCAUUUGGACUGACUAACGCCCCUGCCUAUUUCAUGAGUAUGAUGAACAAGGUAUUCAUGGAGUAUUUGGACAAGUUUGUUGUGGUAUUCAUUGAUGACAUUAUGAUAUACUCGAAGAACGAAGAAGAGCACGUGGAACUCUUGCGUUUGGUUCUCGAGAAACUCAGGGAACAUAAGUUAUAUGCCAAAUUCAGCAAGUGCGAAUUUUGGUUGAAAGAAGUUGGAUUUCUUGGGCAUGUUAUAUCAGGAGAGGGUAUAGCAGUAGAUCCCAGUAAGGUUCAGUCGGUCACUGAAUGGUUGGCACCCACUUCAGUUGGCGAGAUCCGCAGUUUUCUCGGACUAGCAGGAUAUUAUCAAAGAUUCAUUGAGAAUUUUUCCAAAAUUGCUAAACCAAUGACUGAAUUGCUGAAGAAGGAUACUAAGUUCAAAUGGACGGAGGAGUGCGAGACAAGUUUUCAAGAGCUGAAGGAACGAUUGACUACAGCCCCAGUGCUAACUUUGCCAGAUAUACAUAAGGAGUUUCAAGUGUAUUGUGACGCCUCUCGCUUGGGACUUGGAUGUGUGGUUAUGCAAGAAGGAAAAGUUGUUUCGUAUGCCUCACGACAACUG